rnacentral:rRNA from 1 species
AUUGAACGCUGGCGGCAGGCUUAACACAUGCCAGUCGAGCGAGCGGCGGACGGGUGAGUAAUGUCUGGGAAACUGCCUGAUGGAGGGGGAUAACUACUGGAAACGGUAGCUAAUACCGCAUACCAUCAUAUUUUCCCUGAUGGGAUUAGCUAGUAGGUGGUGUAAUGGCUCACCUAGGCGACGAUCCCUAGCUGGUCUGAGAGGAUGACCAGCCACACGGGAACUGAUACACGGUCCAGACUCCUACGGGAGGCAGCAGUGGGGAAGAUUGCACAAUGGGCGCAAGCCUGAUGCAGCCAUGCCGCGUGUAGGAAGAAGGCCUUCGGGUUGUAAAGUACUUUCAGCGAGGAGGCGUUACUCGCAGAAGAAGCACCGGCUAACUCCGUGCCAGCAGCCGCGGUAAUAC